AUUGAACGCUGGCGGCAGGCCUAACACAUGCAAGUCGAGCGGAGCGGCGGACGGGUGCGUAAUGCCUAGGCAUCUGCCUGGUCGUGGGGGAUAACGUCAGGAAACGGGCGCUAAUACCGCAUACUAUCGGAUGAGCCUAGGUCGGAUUAGCUAGUGGGUGGGGUAAAGGCUUACCAAGGCGACGCGCCGUAACUGGUCUGAGAGGAUGAUCAGUCACACUGGAACUGAGACACGGUCCAGACUCCUACGGGAGGCAGCAGUGGGGAAUAUGGGACAAUGGGCGAAAGCCUGAUCCAGCCAUGCCGCGUGUGUGAAGAAGGUCUUCGGAUUGUAAAGCACUUUAAGUUGGGAGGCGUUACCAACAGAAGAAGCACCGGCUAACUUCGUGCCAGCAGCCGCGGUAAUUC
rnacentral:rRNA from 1 species